rnacentral:rRNA from 1 species
UCGUACGGGGAGCAAUCCUCGUGGCGCAAGGGUGAGUAAUGCGACGGUAACCAACCCCAGGGCUGGCCAUAGCCGCGGGAAACCGCGGGUAAUAGCCAGCGAUGCAACCAGUCGGCAUCGGCCGGUUGUCAAAGGUGUGAUUCCGCCCUGGGACGGGCCGUCGUGGUAUUAGGUUGUUGGCGGGGUAACGGCCCACCAAGCCUGUGAUGCCUACCGGGCGUGCGAGCGUGGCCCGGCACACUGGGACUGAGACACUGCCCAGACUCCUACGGGAGGCUGCAGUCGAGAAUCUUCGGCAAUGGGCGCAAGCCUGACCGAGCGACGCCGCGUGGAGGACGAAGGCCUUCGGGUUGUAAACUCCUGUCGAGGGGAAGGAAGGAACGGCGCAAAGCCGUUCUUGACCGCUCCCUGGAGGAAGCACGGGCUAAGUUCGUGCCAGCAGCCGCGGUAAGACGAACCGUGCAAACGUUAUUCGGAAUCACUGGGCUUAAAGCGCGUGUAGGCGGAUCGGCACGUCGGAUGUUGAAAUCCCCCGGCUCAACCGGGGAA